GCUUCUCUUUGAUGAGUGCAUCCGUGCAUGCGUGAGAUUCCUCGAGGCCGUCCCGUGGACGGAGGAGGAAGAGGAGGGGGUGCUCAGUGUUAUCCCCUUCCUCCGCCAGGAGGAGACGCAGGAUCUCCUUGCGCGGCUCUCGCCGGACAUGGCUCUCCCGGAGGAGAUGCUCCUCACCUUGAUUAUAACCGCACUCCACAGCAACACGAAGGUCGCGACGGUCAAGGUCUUCGUUGCGAAGCUUUUGCAGG
rnacentral:misc_RNA from 1 species